AUGCUGACGGGAAGGUGGCGAGCUCAGCGGAGCUGUGUGUCCUGCUUGGUGGCCUCUGUCCCGAGCCCACUGUACUUUCAUGGUUGGCCAGCAUCUCCGUGGGUUUCCAGAUGCUCACAGGACCACUCAGGCUGGGGGUGUACGAGCCCAUCCCAGGGCCGCAGCAGUGUGGUCUCUUGGUCCCCAGAGAGGCAGCCUUCUGCUGGGGUGCCCAGGCCUCCAUCAGAGCAAGGUGCUCCAGGGGGAAGGACCUGCCUUCUUGGGCCUGUGAACAGUGGAGCCUUUUCGCCAUGGCCGGCUUCAGAACCCCAGACCAAACCCGCGGGGACUGGUGGGUGGAGGAAGGAAACAGGAAAUCAGAUGACCGUGGAGAGCUCGUUGGCGGAGCCACCAGAGCAAGGGGACAGAGUGGCAAUGGGGGGGGUGGAGACGACACAGCCCUCUUCUACCCACAGGGGUCCCCUAGAGGAAAGGCUGCAGCCCUGUCCCGGUUCCCGCAGUAAUGGCGCUGCUCCCCCUCCCCUUUGUCACAGCUGGGCUUUGACCUACAACCAGAUGCGCCUGAGAGGUGUUCUCCGAAGUUUCGUGGACGGUCUCACUAACCUCAGGGAGCACAUACGGAUCUGGAGCUUCCUGACCUUCAGGAACAGGGUGUCCCCCAACCCCGGGCGCGGGCUGGUGCUGUCCCUGCUGCUGCUGGUGGUGCUGCUGCUAGGCUGGGGGCUGCAGGUCCUCCAGUGACGCCCGGCUGCUGCUCGGGGCGGGGGGCGGGGCUGGCCUCGCCCCCCUGGCCGCCACCCUGGAGGUGGCCUUGUUGGGUUUGUUGUCUUUUUAACGAUUUUCUGAUGAUGCCUUUUUUAUAUUUAAAACAGGGUGCUGGGACACUACUGAGGUUUCAUACUAGUUUUUUUCUUUUUCUUUUUGUAAGAGAAAUGAAUUCAUUAUACCUCUGGGGUCGUUGCUGGUUAACUGCCCGUGCCAAGGCCUGGGUGGGCCUGCUCUCCUGGCCCCAGCCCACGUGUGGUGGCCUGUCCCAGGAAGGAGCCUUCCUCUGGCUGGGGGACCCUGUGGCGGGCCGUGGGGGGAGUGCUGGCCACACCCCCACGUCUGUGAUGCCCCGGGGCAAAGGGAAAAUCUGCUGGAAUAGAUUUCUGAGGGGUGAGGAGAGCUCAAUAAAAUGUUGGUUUCCAGCUGGUCUCUGGUCCUC
rnacentral:lncRNA from 1 species